AUGAGCAUGGCUGGGCCCUCAGGAAGGAUGUCAGAAGAGACGGAGAGCAGAAUGUGCCCUCUGCACACAGGCACUUAGGACGCUUCCAUGCCAGGGGAACUGUGAACUGUAGUAGUUUCUCUGGAAGAAGGAUCCUCCACAAGACCUCCAGAAUGAGACCGUGGCCCUGCCUAUGACCUGCCCAGCCCAUGACCAGGAAGCCUGUACCCAGCCUGAAGGGAGGAGCCAUCGAAAAAUGACCUCAGUCUAAAUCCAGCAGGCUCCAUGGUUCCCUGUCAACACUCUGAACUGCACUUGGCAGUGAGGAGCCAUCGGAGAGGUGCACACUGGACUUCCCAGGAGACAGUGAGCAAAGACGUAGCCACACACUUAGCUUACAAAGGUCAGGUGGGGCCUCCUUGUGGGGUGAGGUAUGCAGGGGUCACUAUGUAACUCCAAGCAAGAUAAACAUCAGCACAGGUUGGUGAAGAGCAAGUCAUUUCCUGACUCUAAAAUAAUAGGAGCAUCCAGGAGUGAAUAACCAGAGGCUUCUGCCCAUUGAUCCGGAGUCUGGGAGAAGGUCCCAAAGUUAUUAAUAACCUCGGUGUUCUGGGAACUGAUUUCAUCCGCCAGACAAUGGGAUUAAAAGUUGCUGCUGAAGACAAAGUGGUUUCGGCCAGAGCUCUGCUUUCUGCUCUCCCAAUAAGUGGGCAUUUUAUGCCCAGAGUUGAGCUGAUUGGCCCAUGGCAAAUCUGGAUUUCCCACCUAGCUCUACUUUGCCUGACUGCUGGUCAUAUCAGCUUUGUUUGACAACCAAUAAAAGCAACACAUAUUUGCAGCAUACAGGACAUCCACAUAAUACAGCAAUGUCAACUACAACCAGUUAAGAUCUCCAGACCACAGAAUAAAACGGAAUGAAACGGCUGGAGGACAGCAGGGUUAAUACUGGGACUUUUGCACAGAAUCCAUGUUUGGCAAGUAUCAAAUGUCUUGAGUCUCUUUUUCUGGGCAUCAGAAGAGUUGACAGCUUUAUUUAUAACUGGAAGAUUCUAAAAUUGGCACCAUCUGGCUAGAGAAGUAAAAUCUCUGAUGACAUA